GAAAGUGGAAACCCAGGAGGGAACAGCUUCUCCUGUUCCGAGGACCUGCAUUUCCAGCAGCAUUGGGAGUGUGGCACGCGUGGGGAAACGAAACAGCAGCAGAAUGGGGGCCAGUCCUUUCACUGCCUUGUGACUUAGCCUUUCAAGUGCAGGGAGUGGGGGUGGGGAGUCUCAGCAGAUAAGGCAAAGCAGGUGCUUUUGAUAAGGGGUUUCUGGGCUCCUGUGCCCCAGUGUGGGUUCAGGAAGGGUUAGAGGCAUACUCUGAGCCGCUCUGAGCUGAGGCCCCCAGAAACCCCUUACCAAGUUCAUGCUCGCCGGGCUCCUGCCUCCCGUGCGUUCCACCUGGGAAGCCUGGUCCAGCAGCCGGUGCGACACCUACUCCUGCCCCAGACAGAAUCCCCUCCAGGUCUGCAGAGCGGCCCCAUCUUCACUUGCAGGAAAGGAGGACGUUGCCGACAGCUGUGGGAGCCAGGUCUGGAACCCAAGCCUUCUCGCUGCCUGGAGUCGAGUGUGCAGAAAGCCUGGCAGUGUCUAGGGAGGAAGUCAGCCUGAGAAGCUCUCACGGGCCACACUCUUAGUGCAUUUCUCUGCUUCGUGGUGAAAGCUCCAUGCUGACCCCAGUCUGAUGGGAAGGUGUUGAAGCUUAAAGAACGCAGAAAUACCAAAAGGAAAGCAAGCAUGGUUUUUAGACUUUUCAAGGAAUUUGCAAACAUCACCUAUUCCCUCCCCUCUCCGUCUUCCAUCCAGUCACUUGCCUGGAACAACGGUGGUAAUGUCAGAAGGUUUUGGGCCCAGGAGGGGCACCCCAGCAAACUGUUCAAUUGCUGAGCCAGGGGCAGUGUUUUCUGGCUACAGAGUGUACUCCCGUCCCGAGUGAGCUUGCCUGGCUUGAACCUUUGCAUAUGCCCAGCAGGGUCUUUGUGCCCUACUUGUAAGAGGCAGAAGCCGAGGCCCAGGGAGGUGAGGGAUGGAAGGCCAGCCAAGUGGAGCGAACAGCUGCAGCAAGACCGGGUUACUUGGCCCCGAUUCUGGGAUUCUUUCCAUCCACCAGCUCUCCUGUACGGACAGCUCAGGGAUCAAAGAAAGCACCUUCUCUCUCCCGUAGCCUUCUGACUCAUGUUCAGAAGACUUGUCUCUUUCCAGCUUGGGCCUUGCCCCUAGAAAGUUUCCAUCCAAGGCUGCUACCUCCAGGAGGAACAGGAAGUCCCAGUGGGCCUUAGGAAAAAUGAGAUCAGUCCCAGGGCCCGUUCUCUCUGAAAAGUUGUUAUUGAAUUCUGUGCGUGGCCCUGACCUGGAUUUAAAGAUUUGCAAGAAGACAAAUUCCAAACAGAUGCCCAUUAGGGCCCUGACAGCCGCAGCUUAAAGAUAACAUUUACAUUCUGCCGGGGCGUGUAUCUCUCUGUUCCCCGCUCAGCCCCUCUCCCGCCCCUCUCCCACCUCCGGUGGGAUCAAUACCUCGGUUGAGGUUACAUGGAGGUGGCCACAUUCUUUUAAGCUGUUUGCUCAGUGCUUGGUUUGCUCUGCUAACAUGCCAGGCACUUCUUCCAACAGGCCUGUUUGCCCAGUAUUAGGGCUGUUUGCCGAAACACCUACCCCAAUCCGAGGGGGCUCAGCUUUCCAAACAGUUGGUCCCCACAUCUGUCAAUCAAUAACGCCAAUCGGGUUCCUGAUAUGGACAGCACGUGUGGCCAAGUCCAAUAUUUGCCGAAACACCGCCCCCUCCCCUUGCACCUGACUUUCCCCCAGCUUGACAGGGCGGACAUUCGCCAAGCGCACAGGCUGCUGGGAAGAGGCAAGGCUGGCAGACAGGGAGCUGAUUCCAGGAAAGAAGGGCACAUGAACAAACAUGAUCGCUCCUUUAUGAGAGGGUAUCGGUGACUAAAAAUACUUGAAAACUGGACCAUCCAGCAAAGCCACUCGUUCGUUCUCCAUCAGAGUUUCUAGCACAGUGCUUGAUAAAUAUUUGCUGAUUCACUCAGCUGCAGAGACCAACCUCUGGCUGCUGCAGUGACUGUCCAGACAAAGCUCGGGCAGAUUAGGGUAUCAAUGAAGCCAAAGGACUCUGGCCGCUAAGUGUCUGCAAGGAGGAGCUGGGGUCUGUGGGUGGUGACUCCCAGAAGCCUUUGCUGGGUGCAAAGUGUCCUCUGGGCACAUGGCACCAAUGUUAACAUGCGUGGGGGAGCCUGCUGGUGGAUGGUCCAUCUUGCCACUGUCACUUGUUGGUCUAGGUGAUGGUGGUAUGGCCCCUUGUUCAAACAUUAUGAAGAAUUUCAAGACUGUGACAGCUGAGCAUGAAACCCAGCAGACGUUGCUCUGAAGACAGAGUCUGAGAGGCAGCACAGCCCUCUGCGAUGUGGCCCUGGGGUGGGCAUUGCCUGGCCUCCAGGUGGACAUCUGUGUGCCAGCUGUGUAUGGAGCCAGGAAGAGGGGGCAGGAGAGUAGAAGCUAUCGCUUUGCUAGGACGUCCCCCUUUCCCCUGGGGAGAACCCCAGUAUGCUUCCCCCUCACUCUAGGAUCAGAGCAGCCUCCAGACCCGCCUGGGUUUCCACCCUGGCUCUGCUACCUGGAAUCUCUGUGACGUCGGAUGGGACACUGAACCCCUCAGAGCCGCUGGCUUCUUGGUUAUAGAUGGUGCCGCUUCUUUUCUCAUCAGAUUAUUGAGGGGUUCAAUGAGAGGAUGCUGGGGUGCCUGGCUGGCUCAGUCAGUAGAGCAUAUGACUCUUGAUCUCAGGGUUGUGAGUUUGAGCCCCGCGUUGGGUGUAGAGAUGACUUAAAAAUAAAAUUGUAAAAAAGAAUGAGGAAAUGCCAAAGGGCCUGGCACAGUGCUGGAUAUAAAGUGUCAUUCUUUCCGGAUCAAAGCGCCUCUUCUCCAGACUAAGCGGGACCAAGCCCCCUCGCAGUUGGACUUGAGUUGGCUGACAAGAAAACGCAUAUGUGGAUUGAAAACUCAAAGACUUUCAGAGG